CCUUGAGGUAGUCGGUUUUCAAAAUAGAGUUUUUGAGUGGGAAACAGUUUUAAAAAGAUUUUCGAAUGAUUUUUAUCAAUGAUUGGAUAGAGUUUAAAAAUAAAGCUUUCGGAUACGGAGCACUUUUAAAUAGAAUGAUUAUUGUACUGUGUAUCGCAUCAUCCAGCACCUAAGGAGUGUUUAGAGACAUGCAUCAUCUCUAAGGAUCGUUAGCUGUAUGUAAAUGCAUCGCAUAUAUUGGUUGUUGAUUGGUGAAUGUAAAUUGUGGUUGAGAUCCUGAUGUAGCUGUUGGUACGCCGUGCAAGUACAAAGAAGGCUCUGUCCAAGUGGACAGAGGAACUUUGUACUUGUGGCGGGUCUGUACGUCACUUGGGC
rnacentral:lncRNA from 1 species